AUGUAGAACAAAUCAUUUGAUGCUGAUAAAAUACUUUUUGAGAAUACAACUACUGGUACAUUACAGGGUUUAAAAAGUGACACUCUAGGUACUGAAGCUGCAAUGAUUAUUUGCUUCAUCAAUCAGUAUAUUAACAGAAAAGUAAACUCAAAUGUGAAUAUCUGCUUGUUUUCUUAGUCUGAUAUGACAGUAAACAGAAUAUGUUCAGGUUUUGGACUACUG